rnacentral:sRNA from 1 species
CGGAAACGGCUUGAUUGCCAAGAAAACAGACAGUGAUGAAAUAGUCUCUGAAAUGCGACGGUCAAAAAUACUGAAAGCCAUGUACAUAUGCCCCACCAAAACAAUAUUGCCCAUCAAAUAUAGACACAUGGCAGCACAGCCCUGUAUACACACAGGUGGCAGCACAAAAUUGGUAGCUCCACUUAUAGGCCAAUAACUGGAGUUAAUGGAUUAUGGCAGAUAUAAGGUCUAUAUCGGGAGUUGCGUCAUCUCAUGGGUUAAAACAAUUUCUAAGAAACAAAUAGUGCAAACAGAAAAACAGAGGGAUAGGCUGACUUCAACGAGAUGUCUAUUUGGGAUAGUUAAACUACCAAUUAAGACGUAUAUAGGAGUAGAAUGCGAUUGAAGAAAUAUAAAUGCAUUAA